rnacentral:rRNA from 1 species
UGGGGAAUCUUGCGCAAUGGGCGAAAGCCUGACGCAGCAACGCCGCGUGGAGGAUGAAGGCCCUUGGGUUGUAAACUCCUGUCGGCUGGGAAGAAAUCUUCCGGGGCUAAUACCUCCGGAGGUUGACUGUACCAGCAAAGGAAGCCCCGGCUAACUCUGUGCCAGCAGCCGCGGUAAUACAGAGGGGGCCAGCGUUAUUCGGAAUUAUUGGGCGUAAAGGGCGCGUAGGCGGCCAUGCGUGUCUUCCGUGAAAUCCCUCGGCUUAACUGAGGACGUGCGGAAGAAACUGCAAGGCUCGAGUCCGGGAGAGGGGGGUGGAAUUCCCAGUGUAGCGGUGAAAUGCGUAGAUAUUGGGAGGAACACCGGUGGCGAAGGCGGCCCCCUGGACCGGAACUGACGCUGAGGCGCGAAAGCGUGGGUAGCAAACGG